AUUGAACGCUGGCGGCAUGCUUUACACAUGCAAGUCGAACGGUAACAGGCCUUCGGGUGCUGACGAGUGGCGAACGGGUGAGUAAUGCAUCGGAACGUGCCCAGAGGUGGGGGAUAACGCAGCGAAAGCUGUGCUAAUACCGCAUGUGAUCUGAGGAUGAAAGCGGGGGACCAGGCAGCAAUGUUUGGCCUCGCGCCUUUGGAGCGGCCGAUGUCAGAUUAGGUAGUUGGUGGGGUAAAGGCCUACCAAGCCGACGAUCUGUAGCUGGUCUGAGAGGACGACCAGCCACACUGGGACUGAGACACGGCCCAGACUCCUACGGGAGGCAGCAGUGGGGAAUUUUGGACAAUGGGCGCAAGCCUGAUCCAGCAAUGCCGCGUGCGGGAAGAAGGCCUUCGGGUUGUAAACCGCUUUUGUACGGAACGAAAAGGCUCUGGCUAAUACCUGGGGCUGAAGACGGUACCGUAAGAAUAAGCACCGGCUAACUACGUG
rnacentral:rRNA from 1 species